GCUGCCAUAAGGUAGAAGUUAACCUACUCUCCUCCCAUUUGCAAAAAAAGGGUCCAGGGAGAAACCCGGGUGCAAGUCCCGGUGGUAGCA